rnacentral:rRNA from 1 species
CCUACGGGAGGCAGCAGUGGGGAAUAUUGCACAAUGGGGGAAACCCUGAUGCAGCGACGCCGCGUGAGUGAAGAAGUAAUUCGUUAUGUAAAGCUCUAUCAGCAGGGAAGAAAAUGACGGUACCUGAGUAAGAAGCCCCGGCUAACUACGUGCCAGCAGCCGCGGUAAUACGGAGGGGGCAAGCGUUAUCCGGAUUUACUGGGUGUAAAGGGAGCGUAGACGGCAGUGCAAGUCUGGGGUGAAAGGCGGGGGCUCAACCCCCGGACUGCUCUGGAAACUGUACGGCUGGAGGGCAGGAGAGGUAGGUGGAAUUCCUAGUGUAGCGGUGAAAUGCGUAGAUAUUAGGAGGAACACCAGUGGCGAAGGCAGCUUACUGAACUGUAACUGACGUUGAGGCUCGAAAGCGUGGGGAGCAAACAGGAUUAGAUACCCCUGUAGUC